UACGUAGGGGGCGAGCGUUAUCCGGAUUCAUUGGGCGUAAAGCGCGCGUAGGCGGCCGCCUAAGCGGAACCUCUAACCCCGGGGCUCAACCUCGGGCCGGGUUCCGGACUGGGCGGCUCGAGUGCGGUAGAGGAGAGCGGAAUUCCCGGUGUAGCGGUGAAAUGCGUAGAUAUAUGGAGGAACACCGGUGGCGAAAGCGGCUCUCUGGCCUGUAACUGACACUGAGGCUCGAAAGCGUGGGGAGCAAACAGG
rnacentral:rRNA from 1 species